GAUGAACGCUGGCGGCGUGCUUAACACAUGCAAGUCGAACGAAGCACUUAUGAUUGAGAUUUCGGUUGAUUUCAUAAGUGACUUAGUGGCGGACGGGUGAGUAACGCGUGGGUAACCUGCCUCGUACAGGGGGAUAACAGUUAGAAAUGACUGCUAAUACCGCAUAACCCGCUAGGGUCGCAUGACCCGGACGGAAAAGAUUUAUCGGUACGAGAUGGACCCGCGUCUGAUUAGCUAGUUGGUGGGGUAAUGGCUCACCAAGGCGACGAUACAUAGGGGGACUGAGAGGUUAACCCCCCACAUUGGUACUGAGACACGGACCAAACUCCUACGGGAGGCAGCAGUGGGGAAUAUUGCACAAUGGGGGAAACCCUGAUGCAGCGACGCCGCGUGAGUGAAGAAGUAUUUCGGUAUGUAAAGCUCUAUCAGCAGGGAAGAAAAUGACGGUACCUGACUAAGAAGCCCCGGCUAACUACGUG
rnacentral:rRNA from 1 species